rnacentral:rRNA from 1 species
AAUGAACGCUGGCGGCGUGCCUAACACAUGCAGGUCGAGCGGGGAUAGUCCGUAAGGAUGUGUACUCGAGCGGCGGACGGCUGAGUAACGCGUGGGAACAUGCCCCAAAGUGAGGAAUAACUGCCCGAAAGGGUAGCUAAUACCGCAUAUGAUCUUCGGAUUAAAGGAUUUAUCCGCUUUGGGAGUGGCCCGCGUACGAUUAGGUAGUUGGUGAGGUAAAGGCUCACCAAGCCUACGAUCGUUAACUGGUCUGAGAGGAUGAUCAGUCAGACUGGAACUGAGACACGGUCCAGACUCCUACGGGAGGCAGCAGUGAGGAAUCUUCCACAAUGGGCGAAAGCCUGAUGGAGCGACGCCGCGUGCAGGAUGAAGGCCUUCGGGUUGUAAACUGCUUUUAUAAGUGAAGAAUAUGACGGUAACUUAUGAAUAAGCACCGGCUAACUACGUGCCAGCAGCCGCGGUAACA